CACGUAGGGCGCAAGCGUUGUCCGGAAUUAUUGGGCGUAAAGAGCUCGUAGGCGGUCUGUUACGUCUGCUGUGAAAACCCGGGGCUUAACCCUGGGCUUGCAGUGGAUACGGGCAGACUAGAGGCAGGUAGGGGAGAAUGGAAUUCCCGGUGUAGCGGUGAAAUGCGCAGAUAUCAGGAGGAACACCGAUGGCGAAGGCAGGUCUCUGGGCCACUACUGACGCUGAGAAGCGAAAGCAUGGGGAGCGAACAGG
rnacentral:rRNA from 1 species